GGUGAACGCUGGCGGCGUGCCUAACACAUGCAAGUCGAGCGGUGCAGUUUGAAGCUUCGGUGGAAAGCUGCAUAGCGGCGGACGGGUGAGGAAAACGUAGGAACGUGCCCCUUGGAGUUGGAUAGCCACGGGAAACUGUGGGUAAACCGACAUAGACUCGAGAGAGUAAAGGCCGAAAGGCGCCAAGGGAGCGGCCUGCGGCCCAUCAGGUAGUUGGUAGUGUAAAGGACUACCAAGCCGACGACGGGUAGCCGGUCUGAGAGGAUGGCCGGCCACAAGGGCACUGAGAGACGGGCCCUACUCCUACGGGAGGCAGCAGUGGGGGAUUUUGGACAAUGGGCGAAAAGCCUGAUCCAGCGACGCCGCGUGGAGGACGAAGCCCUUCGGGGUGUAAACUCCUUUUCUCAGGGAAAAAAGGAUGAUGGUACCUGAGGAAUAAGCCCCGGCUAACUACGUG
rnacentral:rRNA from 1 species